UCCGUAGGUGGAUAAUUAAGUCAGAGGUGAAAUCCUGCAGCUCAACUGUAGAAUUGCCUUUGAUACUGGUUAUCUUGAGUCAUUAUGAAGUGGUUAGAAUGUGUAGUGUAGCGGUGAAAUGCAUAGAUAUUACACAGAAUACCGAUUGCGAAGGCAGAUCACUAAUAAUGUACUGACACUGAGGUACGAAAGCGUGGGGAGCGAACAGGAUUAGAUACCCUGGUAGUCC
rnacentral:rRNA from 1 species